rnacentral:rRNA from 1 species
UACGAAGGGGGCUAGCGUUGCUCGGAAUCACUGGGCGUAAAGCGCACGUAGGCGGAUCUUUAAGUCAGGGGUGAAAUCCUGGAGCUCAACUCCAGAACUGCCUUUGAUACUGGGGAUCUCGAGUCCGGAAGAGGUGAGUGGAACUCCGAGUGUAGAGGUGAAAUUCGUAGAUAUUCGGAAGAACACCAGUGGCGAAGGCGGCUCACUGGAUCGGUACUGACGCUGAGGUGCGAAAGCGUGGGGAGCAAACAGG